GCUCAGGAUGAACGCUAGCGGCAGGCCUAACACAUGCAAGUCGAGGGGUAGAGCACUUCGGUGCUUGAGACCGGCGCACGGGUGCGUAACGCGUAUGCAAUCUGCCUUACACUAAGGGAUAGCCCAGAGAAAUUUGGAUUAAUACCUUAUAGUAUAUAGAGUUGGCAUCAAUUUUAUAUUAAAGAUUUAUCGGUGUAAGAUGAGCAUGCGUCCCAUUAGCUAGUUGGUAUGGUAACGGCAUACCAAGGCAAUGAUGGGUAGGGGUCCUGAGAGGGAGAUCCCCCACACUGGUACUGAGACACGGACCAGACUCCUACGGGAGGCAGCAGUGAGGAAUAUUGGACAAUGGGCGCAAGCCUGAUCCAGCCAUGCCGCGUGCAGGAUGAAGCAUCUAUGGUGUGUAAACUGCUUUUGUACGGGAAGAAACACCUCUACGUGUAGAGGCUUGACGGUACCGUAAGAAUAAGGACCGGCUAACUCCGUG
rnacentral:rRNA from 1 species